rnacentral:rRNA from 1 species
UACGUAGGGCGCGAGCGUUGUCCGGAAUUAUUGGGCGUAAAGAGCUCGUAGGCGGUCUGUCGCGUCGGCUGUGAAAACCCGGGGCUCAACCCCGGGCCUGCAGUCGAUACGGGCAGACUAGAGUGCGGUAGGGGAGACUGGAAUUCCUGGUGUAGCGGUGAAAUGCGCAGAUAUCAGGAGGAACACCGGUGGCGAAGGCGGCAUCCUGGACCGGUAUUGACGCUGAGGAGCGAAAGCCAGGGGAGCAAACGGGG